CAUUUGUAAAUUUAGUUAUUAAAUUUAUAUGCAUUACAUAUUUAUUUAAUUGAGCAUCGAUCAUUUACACGAACUAUUUUAUUUAACGAACACUGAACGAUUAUUACAGUUUUCAUAGUACAACCCGGAAGAUUUUUAUUUUAUUUUAUUUUAUUACUCCCAUCUACUCCUACACCCACCUACUCCAUCAGCCACCAUAUGCCACAACUUUAUAGCUUUUUGUUGAGACACCUCAUUCACCACCAUACCUUUCAAUCAUACCAUUCUCUGCAAUCAUACCAUACACCUCAUUCAUCACCAUACCUUUCUCUACAAAGUCAUUUCACUUCAAUAAAGGAUCUAUCUUUUCCCUCACUUAGCAUCUUCGAUCAAUCUCAUUUCUCCCUCAAGUUACUCUCUAGUUCCAACAAACCCAAAGAAAUCCAAGUGCAGAGCUCAGCCAUAUUGCGAAUGGAUCAAAUUGCCACAAAACUCAGAUUUCAGCAACUCAAACCAGAGGCUUUGAGCAACAGGAGGAUUAGCAUUGCUAUUCCGAUUCAGAGAUAAGGAUAAACGACAGGCUUUGCCUAAUCAGGUUGAGCAGUUGAUGGAAUGGAAUGAUGUUGAGCGGGUGUUCCUUUGACAUUUCAAGAAAUGUAACCUUGAGUAUACAUCUUCAUAUGUAUAUCUCACACGUUUUCCGCUGCAAAACACUUUGAUUAGGAUAACUCUAUGUUAUGAAGUUGUUACACGUGUUAUUGGGUAACCCACCUUAAUCAGUUCUCUUUUAUGUGUAUGUUUUAUAAGUAUCCAAAUGAUCAUAUAUGAUCCUAGCUUUUUAUCUAUAAGUGAUAUUUUCAUAUACUUUAAUGUUAAGUAAUUGUCCAUUUC